ensembl:lncRNA
CCUAAAUCUGUGUCCCCGGGCCAUGGUCAAUCAAAAUGGCUCCAGAAUCAACCAUCUUUUAUUCCCUUUAAGAUGAGAGCUGUGGUUUUUAUGUCCACACUAAAAGUCCCAAAUAGCUGAGGUCGACCGUGAAACAACUGAUCUGUGGCCUCUCAAUGAUCUUUUUAUUCCAGCUCAAUCCUCUGAGAUAUCCUCUAGGGAGGAAAAAAAAAAUCUCCUUACCUCAGUGCAAAGGUUUGGUAUUUUUAUUUUGUUAAGGCUUAAUUUCUUGAUGAAACGUGCCUUAACCUUGAACCUGUAGAAGAAUUUGGAUACAUCUUAAUAAUUGUCAGUGAUGUCACCAAAGCAAGGUAUUUUUACAGCUCAUUUUUGCUGAGUGUAUUGGGACAGGCCUGUGAUCCCAGCAGUCUGGAGACAAAGACAGGUGGAUCUCUUGAGUAGAGGGUAGACUGAUCCCAAGCCAGUCAGAACUAUAUAAUAAAAUCUUCAAAAUGAAACAAAGUCGUCCCCCCCCCAAAAAAAAAACCAAAGCCCCUGUGUAGAGCAGGAAUACCAGUACUCAACAAAAAUCUCAGAAAACAAAAAGUUUAUGAUUGUAAUAGCUUUCUGUCACUGACACCGGGUAGAAAAUUUACAAUGAGUAUUUAUUUUGGUUUAUGGUCUCUGAGGUUUCAGGCUACAGCCAUGUGGCCCCUGUAUAGGCAGAACUUUAUGGUGUGGGAACUUGGUAAAACCAAAUCCCUUGCCACCGACAGAAAGAAGAGGGAAUAUAUCCAGAGGUCACGCUCCUCAAGGAGGAAUAUAUCCAGAGGUCGAGUUCCUCAAGGAGGAAUAUAUCCAGAGGUCGUGUUCCUCAAGGAGGUCACCAACUCCUAACUGCUUGUCCAGCUAUGACCUCAUUAGGGGAUUAACCCAUCUAUGAGGUAUGUGCCUUUGUGAUUAAAUCACCUCUCAGUGCCACUAGCUAAAGGACAAGAUCUUCCCGGGAUCCAUGUGUGGCAGGCAUUUCUUAUCCAAACCUGUGAAAGCACAGGAGACACAAGUCCAGGGAAGAGGCAUGGAUCAAAAUCACUACAGCUAUUCUAUCAGGGAAGGCCCCAACACUACCUUUACAUGGACUCCAGGAUGGAACCAGAAAGUGUCACAGACACACCAUAGAAGCAGAUGCUGCUGUCUGCUGUACCUCCAAACCAUCCCAAAGAAGAAUUUUUUUUCACCAGUCAAUAAACACUGAGUACAUUGGAAUAUGCAC